rnacentral:rRNA from 1 species
CGUGUAGGUGGUCUGAUAAGUCAGGUGUGAAAGCCCCUGGCUCAACCAGGGAAGUGCACUUGAAACUAUCAGACUUGAGUACGGGAGGGGGAAGUGGAAUUCCUGGUGUAGAGGUGAAAUUCGUAGAUAUCAGGAGGAAUACCGGUGGCGAAGGCGACUUCCUGGACCGAUACUGACACUGAGACGCGAAAGCGUGGGGAGCAAACAGGAUUAGAUACCCUGGUAGUCCACGCCAUAAACGAUGGGCACUAGGUGUAGCGGGUAUUGACCCCUGCUGUGCCGAAGCUAACGCAUUAAGUGCCCCGCCUGGGGAGUACGGCCGCAAGGCUAAA